AUGAAGCAGCAACUAUUUGAGAAGGCCAUUCUUGGAAAGGUUAAGGCAUAUACAUAUGUCCUAGAGUUCCAAAAGAGGGGAUUACCCCAUGCUAACCUUUUGCUCAUCAUGACCGGAAAAUACAAAUACACGUGUCCGGAACAGUAUGACAGAAUCAUCUCCGCUGAGCUCCCUAACAAGCACAAGUACCCAGAACUAUACAAAAUGGUAGUCAAACAUAUGAUGCAUGGUCCUUGCGGUGCAUUGAAUAAAUUUUGUCCAUGCACAAAGAAUCGUCAGUCAUGCAAGAACAAUUAA
rnacentral:rRNA from 1 species